rnacentral:rRNA from 1 species
UACGAAGGGGGCUAGCGUUGCUCGGAAUCACUGGGCGUAAAGCGCACGUAGGCGGAUUGUUAAGUCAGGGGGUGAAAUCCUGGAGCUCAACUCCAGAACUGCCUUUGAUACUGGCGAUCUCGAGUCCGGGAGAGGUGAGUGGAACUGCGAGUGUAGAGGUGAAAUUCGUAGAUAUUCGCAAGAACACCAGUGGCGAAGGCGGACUCACUGGCCCGGUACUGACGCUGAGGUGCGAAAGCGGUGGGGAGCAAACAGGG